rnacentral:lncRNA from 10 species
UCAAGAGAAGCCUUUCAUUCUAGACAUAGUAGUUAUUUUCUAAAUCAUCUUUAAACUUAUUUGCUGGAAUAUUGUGGGGGUAAAGUGCAAACUUCCCCUUCACCAUCUGAAGGUUUGCUAAAAAUCAACAGGCAGAAGGCGAAUUAACAGGAGAAAUGGCAUGCCAAUUUGUUUGAUCACAGUUUUACAUGAAGAAUGAAGACCCAAAGACACAUGAGAAAUUGUCCAUUUUUAUGCAACACCAGACCAGGCGAUGCUCUAAGACAGGUACAACAAAGUAUGGACAUGCGUGUAGAAAUACGAGUCAACUAAAGGGUGUGAUCUACUGCUAAUAGGCUGAGUGGGGACACCCAGACUCUUCCUGGCCCCUGUGAGCAGCUUCCUUUCCUUCUGGUGUGGGGCAGGAACUUCUCUGGAAUGGGGAUCUUCUGACCCACAGUCAAACAAGAAUUGGACAGAAGUCACAUCAGGGAGACCAGAGACUAGAGUAUUGCAUCAUAGAGGAAAGACACUGAUGACAAGACCUCAGGGGAGCAGUGGAACUGGAGGCCUGGGAGCUUGGGACGUGUUCUCCGGGUGAAGUUGGCUGGCCAGCUGAUGACCUACACCAGUGCCAUUCACUCCUCAUGUGUCCCCCGGGAAUUCAUAGUGUGUGUCAUCAGAAUCUCAUAUGAAUGGGAUCGUCCAGCGUGUACCUUUCUCUGUGCAUCAAUACAGCAGGAGUUGGCUCCUCUCCCUGAGUGCACGUCAGUUUCACUUCUGCUGUUGCACCUGUCAAUUGUUC